AUAAUGGGGUCCAAAACUAGCACUAC
rnacentral:piRNA from 1 species